rnacentral:rRNA from 1 species
UUCCAGACUCCUACGGGAGGCAGCAGUGGGGAAUAUUGCACAAUGGGGGCAACCCUGAUGCAGCGACGCCGCGUGAGCGAUGGAGUACUUCGGUAUGUAAAGCUCUGUCAGCAGGGAAGAGAAUGACGGUACCUGACCAAGAAGCCCCGGCUAAAUACGUGCCAGCAGCCGCGGUAAUACGUAGGGGGCAAGCGUUGUUCGGAAUGACUGGGCGUAAAGGGUGCGUAGGCGGUGUAGCAAGUUAGAAGUGAAAUACCUAGAGCUUAACUCAGGUGCUGCUUCUAAAACUGCUAUACUUGAGUGCAGUAGAGGAAAGUGGAAUUCCUAGUGUAGCGGUGGAAUGCGUAGAUAUUAGGAGGAACAUCAGUGGCGAAGGCGACUUUCUGGACUGUAACUGACGCUGAGGCACGAAAGUGUGGGGAGCAAACAGGAUUAGAUACCCGCGUA